rnacentral:tRNA from 1 species
CCGGCUUUAGCUCAGUUGGUAGUAGCAUUAGACUGUAAUUGCUCAGGAAUCUAAGGGUCCCCAGUUCGACUCUGGGAAGCCGGA